rnacentral:rRNA from 1 species
UGUAAGCGUAUACCAAAGUUGUUGCAGUUAAAACGCUCGUAGUCGGAAUUUGGCAGUUCCGGAUGUGUGCACGUCGUGUGCGCACUUCGCGGGGAUUGCUUUUGUGGUCUUGCGUAGGAUGAGGCACUUUUAUUAGUGAACGUCCUCACGCAACCACUUUUUACUGUGAGAAAAUCAGAGUGCUCAAAGCAGGCAUUUGCCGUAAAUGUAUUAGCAUGGAAUAAUAGAAUAGGACUUGGUUCUAUUUUGUUGGUUUGUUGGGACUGAGUAAUGAUUAAGAGGGACAGUUGGGGGCAUUUGUAUUUCGGUGCUAGAGGUGAAAUUCUUAGAUUACCGAAAGACAAACUGCUGCGAAAGCGUCUGCCAAGGAUGUUUUCAUUGA